AGCUCAGUCGGUAGAGCGCUCCACUGGAAAUGGAGAGGUCCCUGGUUCCAUACCAGG
rfam:Ixodes scapularis strain Wikel colony gcontig_1108379043222, whole genome shotgun sequence.